rnacentral:tRNA from 1 species
GGUCCCAUAGCUUAGCUGGUAGAGCACCUGACUCUUAAUCAGGGGGUCGAAGGUUCGAACCCUUCUGGGAUCA